AGUCUUACCUAGCAGGAGAGAUACCGUGGUUGUGAAGGUGGUUCUCGGGGCAAAGCUUAGCCAUUGUGUUUCAGAUGUCCUGACUCCUAAAAUUUCCUGAAAGGGGGAAAAGUUGACUACAUAAUUUGUGGUAAUGAGGAACAAGGUUCAUGCUCUCCCCU